rnacentral:rRNA from 1 species
UUCUGAGAUCAGUCGAGAUUACCCGCUGAACUUAAGCAUAUCACUAAGCGGAGGAAAAGAAACUAACCAGGAUUCCCUUAGUAAUGGCGAAUGAACAGGGAAGAGCUCAAGCUUGAAUCUUCGGAAUUGUAGUCUAUAGGUGGGAACUCGUACAGACCCGGGUAUAAAUCCGUUCUUGGAACUGGGUGCCAGAGAGGGUUAGAGCCCCGUCUUUGACUCGGUGUAUGUGCGUGGCGAGUUUUUGCUAGAGAGUCGGCUUGCUUGGGAAUGCAGGUCAAAAUGGGUGGUAAACUUCAUCUAAAGCUAAAUAUUGGCGAGAGACCGAUAGCGAACAAGUACUGUGAAGGAAAGAUGGAAAGAACUUUGAAAAGAGAGUGAAAAAGGGCCUGAAAUUGUUAAGAGGAUAAGUGGUUGGAGCAUAUCAUAUCAUACGGUCACAAAAGGUCCUCCGGGAUUGGUAUGGCCGUGUGGUUGGUCAGCAUCUAUUUCUGGGGGGGGAGAAUGCUUUUGCGAAGGCCUUCGGGCUGACGUGUUAGUGAAACCCUGCUGGAGAUAGAGGCACAAAGAGCGCGCAUAGCGGCCGGCCCCUUUUGCGGUGUGUAAUGUUGGGUCGAUCCUUCGGGCAUUUACUUUUCAUUGGGCUUCGACUUGAGGGAGCGCUGGACCUGCGUUCUGAAGAUGCUGGCACAAAUGGCUUCAACCAGCCCGUCUGGAAACACGGACCAAGGAGUCUAACACAUAUGCGAGUAGUAAGGUGGCAAACCUUGGAUGCGCAAUGAAAGUAACGUGGUGGGAUUCGUAAGAUGCACCAUCAACCGACCAGGAUCUUUUGUGAAAGGUUUGAGUAAGAGCAUAUAUGUUGGGACCCGAAAGAUGGUGAACUAUGCCCGAGUAGGAUGAAGCCAGAGGAAACUCUGGUGGA